GUGGCCGCUGCCUUUGACUUUGUCAGAUGUACGCUUAGCGCCCCCAAGCCCCUGGAGCUUGUGCUGGUAUCCUGGGGCUUGGCUUCCGGGGGCUCUGGGCAUCCUGGAAGGCAAAAGAGACCCACCAGGAUUCACAGAUUACUUCCACCAUUCCAGAAAGUUUUCUCCUGCUACUUUCAAGUCUAUACUCACCAAAAGCUCAAUUUCAGCACCCCAAGGAAAAAAAAGCAUCCAU